rnacentral:rRNA from 1 species
UACGGGGGGGGCAAGCGUUGUUCGGAAUUACUGGGCGUAAAGGGCUCGUAGGCGGCCCACUAAGUCAGACGUGAAAUCCCUCGGCUUAACCGGGGAACUGCGUCUGAUACUGGAGGGCUUGAGUUUGGGAGAGGGAUGCGGAAUUCCAGGUGUAGCGGUGAAAUGCGUAGAUAUCGAGAGGAACACCUGCGGCGAAGGCGGGUUGCUGGGCUGACACUGACGCUGAUGCGCGAAAGCCAGGGGAGCAAACGGG